GACGUAGGGCGCGAGCGUUGUCCGGAUUUAUUGGGCGUAAAGAGCUCGUAGGCGGCUUGUCGCGUCGGCCGUGAAAACCUGCAGCUUAACUGUGGGCUUGCGGUCGAUACGGGCAUCACUGGAGUUCGGCAGGGGAGACUGGAACUCCUGGUGUAGCGGUGAAAUGCGCAGAUAUCAAGCGGAACACCGGUGGCGAAGGCGGCCUUCUGGACAGUGACUGACGCUGAGACGCGAAAGCGUGGGGAGCAAACAGG
rnacentral:rRNA from 1 species